UAUUUACAUAUAGUAAUGACAUGCCAUCUACAAUAUAAGAAAAUAAGAUGUUCUUUAAAAUACUAAACUGCCCCUGCUGCCUAUAUGGUUGACACGUGGAUAGACUGGCUGAUAAGCAUUCAAAUUCUUUUUCCCAUCUUUUCCCUCUUCCCUUCCCUUCCUUGUCUUUCCACUCUCUUUCAUUUUCUCUCUCUCUCUCUCUCUCUCUCUCUCUCUCCCAAAACUCAGAUUUUCACACCUUCUUCUAUCUCCUUCUUCUGGUGGUGAGGUUGCAAUUUUCGGUGGUGGUGGAUCUGAGCGUUUUCGUGUGGUUUGGAGGUGGUGAGGUUGCGAUUUUUUACGGCGGUGGAUCUGUGCGUUUUCGUGUGGUGUGGAUGGAGAAGUUACAAUCUUUACUUACUCAAGUAUACACUCCUUUUAAGUUGUUUGAGUUAGGUUUUGGAUGGGCAUGGAAGUCCUGAUGCAGCUGUGUUUGUUAAGAAAAAUGCUAUGAAAAUAUUUUUUUGAAGACGUUACAAUGCUGCAGUCAUAUGACACUGAUGCACUUCUAAUUAAGAGGUUGGAAGAUUCUCAUCAGAAAGUUUUUCUAGGUGUCGACCUUGCGAUGGUUGAUGAACAGAGUAUUAGUAGUUCUUCUGGGACAACAACACUGACUGCCCUGAUACUUGGAAAGCAUUUGCUUGUUGCUAAUGUCGGUGAUUGUCGAGUAGUUUUUUAAGAGGACCACAGACGGAGUUAUUCUUUGUUUUGUUUUCACUAUGGGUUUUUUUAGAAAAACUACUUCAUACUGUUAUGUAAUAUAUUUGAUAUACCUACUGCAUAUUUAAGCAAUUUGGAAUAAUUGUUGUGAAAUCAACUUGUAGGUUCACUUUGUCUUAAAAGAACUUGUGAGAAAAUCAAUAGGUGAAACUGAGGAGCUGAGACGUUUCCCUACUCUUCAAACCGAAUUAUCUGCAGCUACAAAUGAGGCUCUAGAGAGAUUCCGUGAAGCGAGUAAGAAGACAACUAUUCGGCUUGUGGAUAUGGAGUCUUCAUAUCUUACUGUGGAUUUCUUUCGGAAACUUCCUCAAGAAAUGGAGAAAGCUGGUAAUCUAGGGAUACCUUCUAAUCCAGCUCAACCUACUAAUCCAUCUAAUUGUCCUAUCUCUAACCCAAUCGAGGAUCGAUAUGGUGAUAGGCAUUUUAGAAGGAUUGGAUCAAAUGUGUCAUCCUAUAUAGGUUUGGUGUCUGACACACUCAAGAUCACUAUUCCAAACGCCGUGGUUUAUUGUCAGGUCAGAGAAGCAAAACUAUCAUUGCUAAGCUAUUUCUUCACACAAACUGGGAAAAAAGAGAUGUCUUCAGUUUUGGUGUGGUACUUCUUGAGCUUAUCAGUGGUCGACAUCCUAUUCAUAAAACGCGUACCAAAUGGACAGAGAAGAGCAUCUUGUAUGGUGUUUCUUUGUCAGCUAUCAGCAAAAGUUUGGCCCUGAUCGAUCCAGAAGUAUCUAAAACUCAAAAGCUUAGAUGCUGGGUAUAAAGCAUGGUGCUCUUGCUAAAGUGAAUGAUCCUAAAGUGAAGCAAUUUAUAGAGAAGCAAUUUAUAGAGAUGUUUUUGAAGUAGAAUUCAGUUUUGAAGGAAUGGGUGACACUGAAAUUGUGUCUUUGUCGGUGUUUGUGUUCGAAAGCGAUACCGAAAUUAUGAUCACUUUUGGUGCCACUACAAAUAUGAAGAUGGAUCUAUUUGGUGCUGGCGUUAUAACAUCUGUAUCCUUAAUACACAUGUAGUCUGAUACUUUAAUAUAUACGGUCAUUUUUCUACAAAUAUUAAUAUUAUGAUUUAAUAUAAGAAUUUUAUAAUUUAAUGAUAUUAAUAUUUUAAUGAUUUAAUAUAUUAUUUUUAUUUUUAUUUGUCAAUCUCAGAUUUUUACUUUUAUUGAUAUUAAUAUUUUUGAUGGUGAUCAAUAAUAGAAAACAAAUUUUGACUGCAUCAUAACUUAUAUUUUUUUAAAGUACAAAUUAAAA